UACGAAGGGGGCUAGCGUUGUUCGGAAUUACUGGGCGUAAAGCGCGCGCAGGCGGCUAUCCAAGUCAGUGGUGAAAGCCCGGAGCUCAACUCCGGAACUGCCAUUGAAACUGUUUAGCUUGAGGACGAGAGAGGUGAGUGGAAUUCCCAGUGUAGAGGUGAAAUUCGUAGAUAUUGGGAAGAACACCGGUGGCGAAGGCGACCUUCUGGGCCGCAACUGACGCUGAGGCACGAAAGCCUGGGAGCGAACGGG
rnacentral:rRNA from 1 species